GUGGGGAAUUUUGGACAAUGGGGGCAACCCUGAUCCAGCCAUUCCGCGUGAGUGAAGAAGGCCUUCGGGUUGUAAAGCUCUUUCGGCAGGAACGAAACGGUGAGCUCUAACAUAGCUCGCUAAUGACGGUACCUGAAGAAGAAGCACCGGCUAACUACGUGCCAGCAGCCGCGGUAAUACGUAGGGUGCGAGCGUUAAUCGGAAUUACUGGGCGUAAAGCGUGCGCAGGCGGUGAUGUAAGACAGUUGUGAAAUCCCCGGGCUCAACCUGGGAACUGCAUCUGUGACUGCAUUGCUGGAGUGCGGCAGAGGGGGAUGGAAUUCCGCGUGUAGCAGUGAAAUGCGUAGAUAUGCGGAGGAACACCGAUGGCGAAGGCAAUCCCCUGGGCCUGCACUGACGCUCAUGCACGAAAGCGUGGGGAGCAAACAGGAUUAGAUACCCCAGUAGUCC
rnacentral:rRNA from 1 species